GCUUGCUACAGGCUUAACACAUGCAAGUCGAGGGGCAUCAGGAAGAAAGCUUGCUUUCUUUGCUGGCGACCGGCGCACGGGUGAGUAACACGUAUCCAACCUGCCCUUUACUCGGGGAUAGCCUUUCGAAAGAAAGAUUAAUACCCGAUGGCAUAAUGAUUCCGCAUGGUUUCAUUAUUAAAGGAUUCCGGUAAAGGAUGGGGAUGCGUUCCAUUAGGUUGUUGGUGAGGUAACGGCUCACCAAGCCUUCGAUGGAUAGGGGUUCUGAGAGGAAGGUCCCCCACAUUGGAACUGAGACACGGUCCAAACUCCUACGGGAGGCAGCAGUGAGGAAUAUUGGUCAAUGGGCGCUAGCCUGAACCAGCCAAGUAGCGUGAAGGAUGAAGGCUCUAUGGGUCGUAAACUUCUUUUAUAUAAGAAUAAAGUGCAGUAUGUAUACUGUUUUGUAUGUAUUAUAUGAAUAAGGAUCGGCUAACUCCGUGCCAGCAGCCGCGGUAAUACGGAGGAUCCGAGCGUUAUCCGGAUUUAUUGGGUUUAAAGGGAGCGUAGGUGGACUGGUAAGUCAGUUGUGAAAGUUUGCGGCUCAACCGUAAAAUUGCAGUUGAUACUGUCAGUCUUGAGUACAGUAGAGGUGGGCGGAAUUCGUGGUGUAGCGGUGAAAUGCUUAGAUAUCACGAAGAACUCCGAUUGCGAAGGCAGCUCACUGGACUGCAACUGACACUGAUGCUCGAAAAGUGUGGGUAUCAAACAGGAUUAGAUACCCUGGUAGUCCACACAGUAAACGAUGAAUACUCGCUGUUUGCGAUAUACAGUAAGCGGCCAAGCGAAAGCAUUAAGUAUUCCACCUGGGGAGUACGCCGGCAACGGUGAAACUCAAAGGAAUUGACGGGGGCCCGCACAAGCGGAGGAACAUGUGGUUUAAUUCGAUGAUACGCGAGGAACCUUACCCGGGCUUAAAUUGCAGUGGAAUGAUGUGGAAACAUGUCAGUGAGCAAUCACCGCUGUGAAGGUGCUGCAUGGUUGUCGUCAGCUCGUGCCGUGAGGUGUCGGCUUAAGUGCCAUAACGAGCGCAACCCUUAUCUUUAGUUACUAACAGGUCAUGCUGAGGACUCUAGAGAGACUGCCGUCGUAAGAUGUGAGGAAGGUGGGGAUGACGUCAAAUCAGCACGGCCCUUACGUCCGGGGCUACACACGUGUUACAAUGGGGGGUACAGAAGGCAGCUAGCGGGUGACCGUAUGCUAAUCCCAAAAGCCUCUCUCAGUUCGGAUCGAAGUCUGCAACCCGACUUCGUGAAGCUGGAUUCGCUAGUAAUCGCGCAUCAGCCACGGCGCGGUGAAUACGUUCCCGGGCCUUGUACACACCGCCCGUCAAGCCAUGGGAGCCGGGGGUACCUGAAGUACGUAACCGCAAGGAUCGUCCUAGGGUAAAACUGGUGACUGGG
rnacentral:rRNA from 1 species